rnacentral:rRNA from 1 species
UUGGGCCUACGGGGCGCAGCAGUGGGGAAUAUUGGACAAUGGGGGCAACCCUGAUGCAGCGACGCCGCGUGAGCGAUGGAGUACUUCGGUAUGUAAAGCUCUGUCAGCAGGGAAGAGAAUGACGGUACCUGACCAAGAAGCCCCGGCUAAAUACGUGCCAGCAGCCGCGGUAAUACGUAUGGGGCAAGCGUUAUCCGGAUUUACUGGGUGUAAAGGGAGCGUAGGCGGCAGGGCAAGCCUGAUGUGAAAGCCCGGGGCUCACCCCCGGGACUGCAUUG